rnacentral:other from 1 species
AAAUUCCUACGAUGUACGUAACCUCUAUAUGUUUUAAACCGUACUGUUUUAUCGGGAUUCUUACAUUUGUAAAUUGAUGCUAAGCCUUUAGCCUUAUGAAAGGACAGCAGAGACGUUUACAUGCGGAAACCCACCUGCUUUAGAGCGGGUUAUAAAACAUGUGGGGAUACGGCAUAGGUGGGACUCUA